UUUCGUCAAACAGUCGACACGUCUUCAUAAACUUCUGUUUGCUGAACGGGUCGGCGAGAAGCUUUUCCGACAACCAGUCGGACCUAUUUAUUUUUUGCGGAAUCUUCCUGCCGCGCAUCCGCCAGACAGCACCGGAAUCACAAGACGUACCCGGCGUAGGAAAGUUUCGACAGCUUUGAGAGGACAAACGAAUGUGGAUUGCUUGGGCAACCGUUCAUCCAACUAAUUUGAAGAGAUAACUGUACCGACUGUUCCGGUCCUCCGACCAAGCGGUUGCAAUCCCUUCCGGUCCGGUCCAAGGAGACUCAACAAAUGGUGCCGAAACCCUUUAUCAGUUGUUCGGAUGGAACUGUCUGACAACAAACAUCGUCCAAUGUACCGGUUCAAGAGCUCUUAUCCUGUGGACAAUCGAUGAUCUAAAUAAUGAACAUGUACUUAGGGCUGUCCCAACGGUAGAUGCAAAACACGGUUUUCGACCACGCUAAAACAUUUCGGCUGGCACCGGUGGCGUAAAUUGCUGUUUUAGCACAGUUUUCGAUUUCAAAAUUCCCAACAGUUAUACGCCUUUGUUUCAAAUUCAUGCAAAUUUGGAACAGGAUUUCAAAAUAUACGACAGACCGAUGUAGACGUUUGGGGUUCACGGUGAGAAAAUUUUAGCCAAUGGUGAUUAUUUUCACACAUGUUUGGGUAGCAUUGGGUGUAAUAAUUGUUUCUUUUUGAGAAAUUAUUUGAAUGUUUUUUCCCUCCAAAACCGGUCAAUACGUAACAAAUAAUUGAGAAAACAUGUUAACAAAAAACCGUUUUAAGUAUAAAAAAUUUAUUUCACACUAUUCUUGACUUUAUAUUUUAAUAAAUAGCUUUUGGCCUCAACGAAUUAGUGAGCCCAGUCAGCGUUUCUCGAGUUCAAACGUUAUAUGAAUAAGAAAAGGAAAAUAACAGAAGCAUCCUAAUGAAAU